rnacentral:rRNA from 1 species
AUACGGAGGGUCCGAGCGUUAAUCGGAAUUACUGGGCGUAAAGCGCGCGUAGGUGGUUAGACAAGUCAGAUGUGAAAGCCCCGGGCUCAACCUGGGAACUGCAUUUGAAACUGUUUGGCUAGAGUAUGCUAGAGGUGAGUGGAAUUUCAGGUGUAGCGGUGAAAUGCGUAGAGAUCUGAAGGAACAUCAGUGGCGAAGGCGACUCACUGGGCCAUUACUGACACUGAGGUGCGAAAGCGUGGGUAGCAAACAGGAUUAGAAACCCUAGUAGUCC